GAAGAUUUUUAUUAGUAAGAUUUUAAUCAAUCAAGAAUAAUCAAUGUGAAUCAAGCCAUUUUUGUUGCUAGUUGUUUUUCCAUUAUAAUCCUAUAGGUAAUGGAGAGAAAGGAAGAUGUUUACGUACUGGAAUGUUCAGAACUGAGGAGAAACAUAUGGCCAGAAAGGGCCUUUCGUUAUACAAAAACAAGUAGGGGCCUCUCCUCCCUAGGGAGGGAUCAAAAUUGCAAGCAUAAGGAAAAGUUUGACUAUUUGGAAACGCCCCAUAUAGUGUAUAUAAGGAGAAACCAAAUUGCAUUUCGGGAGAUCUCCUUGCAACGAGCUCUCGGCUUUGUUUUGCUUAAAAUAAAGUCUUUUCUUCUGAGAGAAAAA